rnacentral:tRNA from 1 species
GGCCUGGUGGUGGAAUCGGUUAGACACGCUUUAUAUUAGAUGGAAAGUACAUUGCAGGUUCGAAUCCUGCCUAGGCCG